AUUGAACGCUGGCGGAAUGCUUUACACAUGCAAGUCGAACGGCAGCACGGACUUCGGUCUGGUGGCGAGUGGCGAACGGGUGAGUAAUGUAUCGGAACGUGCCCAGUCGUGGGGGAUAACGUAGUGAAAAUUACGCUAAUACCGCAUACGAUCUAUGGAUGAAGGCGGGGGAUCGCAAGACCUCGCGCGAUUGGAGCGGCCGAUAUCAGAUUAGGUAGUUGGUGGGGUAAAGGCCCACCAAGGCAACGAUCUGUAGCUGGUCUGAGAGGACGACCAGCCACACUGGAACUGAGACACGGUCCAGACUCCUACGGGAGGCAGCAGUGGGGAAUUUUGGACAAUGGGCGAAAGCCUGAUCCAGCCAUUCCGCGUGCAGGAUGAAGGCCCUUGGGUUGUAAACUGCUUUUGUACAGAACGAAAAGGUUUCUACUAAUACUAGGAGCUCAUGACGGUACUGUAAGAAUAAGCACCGGCUAACUACGUGCCAGCCGCCGCGGUAA
rnacentral:rRNA from 1 species